AGGUAUAGAUGGCAAGCACCAUUUUCCAAGGAGCUUGAAAUUCCGGGAGGUGUGGAAGAAGACUACUCAAAAUGGCAGCAGGUUUGAAUGUUCACAGAAGCAGCUGUUGUUCUUCCAAACCCAGGGACAACAGAACUGUGGUGUAGUCUUGCUCCCUUGCCGUGGGACCCAGAUGUGGCACAUACCUCCAGACCUCAUACAGAAGUUCCUCUUCUAAGGAUGGAAGAAGAUACUUGGAAAAAUCAGGGAAGAGUGAAGAAGAUAUUUCAAAAAAUCGGGGAAGAUUUUCAUCAUAAGGUCCAAGCAAAGGCAUGAGUAUAAGAUGUGAUGAAACAAACACACAAUUACGAAACACAAGCUAUGCAAUGGAGGAGGAUGUGAAACUAGGCAGUUUAGCCUUCAGUAUCCAUAUGCUUAAUCUUUCUGCUAUACUUCCUAUUGUUUUGGAAAUGGAAACUGAAGAGCAGAUCAUAUGAUGGCACCUGACGAAGUCUUAUUUUAUCAUAAAAAAUGCAGCCAGUGCUAAAGCUACCUACUUACCUUUAGCACUU
rnacentral:lncRNA from 1 species